rnacentral:lncRNA from 1 species
AAUAUUUUGCACUGAUAUCUGUAAUCAGCACGUGUUAGCCCCGCCCCAUUCUGCAGGCUGAUGCAAGGUCCUUUGCAGUUUUGACAAGAGGGAAGUAUCCGGGAGAAAGUGCAGUUGUAAGAGACUAGAGUCUAUUCUUCAAUUCAAGAUGAAAGCUGUUCUGACUAUUCUCGUUGUGGCCAUGCUGUUAUGUAUCGUAUUGUCAUCAGAAGAAUCUGAUGUGCUGCAAUGCACAGGGGAGAAACUGAGUGAUGGACAGUUCUACUUUAAUAUGCCGUAUGAAGUUAAGGAGGACAUCUAUGACUGCGAGACCCAAUGGCUUGUUGAUGAGAAAGUGGCAGGGGUUUCUGAUACUGAAGGAAAAAUGACGUUCAUAUUCCCAAUUGAAAAUUUGACAGUGAACGCAGCCAUCUUACAGACGUGCCCUGAAAGACUUGAAUGCCUGCUCAUCUGCCCCAGCGCCAAUGUAAGUGUAAUAUUGUUGAUGUGUUUUAGCUUUUAUGUAUCGCUAGGUAUUUAAUUA